GCCCUGGCCCUCCGCCACCUGAACCCCUGCCCGCUUGGCAGCCUCAGGCUUCCUGACAAGUGUCUGACCGGCUGCCAAUCUCCACUCUCCCCAAGAGCCGUCUGCUUCUCUCUGGCAGCCGCGGUGCCCACUUGGGUUUAAAAAUAAACUCGCUAUCUGCCUUUCCUCCAGCAGAAUCCCAGGCACUUCUUCCAUGUGGAGCUGGAUCCCAGCCGCCCCCGAAAGCACCAUGUCGCCGUCAUCUCAGCGGCCCCUGCGAGGAACACGUUCUACGACUCCAUUACGGAGUCUCGCUCUAUCACCAGGCUGGAGUGCAGUGGUGUGAUCUCAGCUCACUGCAACCUCCACCUCUUGGGUUCAAGCAAUUCUCCUGCCUCAGCCUCCCGAGUAGCUGGGACUACAGGUACCCACCACCACGCCCGGCUAAUUUUUGGUAUUUUUAGUAGAGACGGGGUU
rnacentral:lncRNA from 1 species